rnacentral:rRNA from 3 species
AAAUUGAAGAGUUUGAUCAUGGCUCAGAUUGAACGCUGGCGGCAGGCCUAACACAUGCAAGUCGAACGGUAACAGGAAGCAGCUUGCUGCUUUGCUGACGAGUGGCGGACGGGUGAGUAAUGUCUGGGAAACUGCCUGAUGGAGGGGGAUAACUACUGGAAACGGUGGCUAAUACCGCAUAACGUCGCAAGACCAAAGAGGGGGACCUUCGGGCCUCUUGCCAUCAGAUGUGCCCAGAUGGGAUUAGCUUGUUGGUGAGGUAACGGCUCACCAAGGCGACGAUCCCUAGCUGGUCUGAGAGGAUGACCAGCCACACUGGAACUGAGACACGGUCCAGACUCCUACGGGAGGCAGCAGUGGGGAAUAUUGCACAAUGGGCGCAAGCCUGAUGCAGCCAUGCCGCGUGUAUGAAGAAGGCCUUCGGGUUGUAAAGUACUUUCAGCGGGGAGGAAGGUGUUGCGGUUAAUAACCGCAGCAAUUGACGUUACCCGCAGAAGAAGCACCGGCUAACUCCGUGCCAGCAGCCGCGGUAAUACGGAGGGUGCAAGCGUUAAUCGGAAUUACUGGGCGUAAAGCGCACGCAGGCGGUCUGUCAAGUCGGAUGUGAAAUCCCCGGGCUCAACCUGGGAACUGCAUUCGAAACUGGCAGGCUUGAGUCUUGUAGAGGGGGGUAGAAUUCCAGGUGUAGCGGUGAAAUGCGUAGAGAUCUGGAGGAAUACCGGUGGCGAAGGCGGCCCCCUGGACAAAGACUGACGCUCAGGUGCGAAAGCGUGGGGAGCAAACAGGAUUAGAUACCCUGGUAGUCCACGCCGUAAACGAUGUCUACUUGGAGGUUGUGCCCUUGAGGCGUGGCUUCCGGAGCUAACGCGUUAAGUAGACCGCCUGGGGAGUACGGCCGCAAGGUUAAAACUCAAAUGAAUUGACGGGGGCCCGCACAAGCGGUGGAGCAUGUGGUUUAAUUCGAUGCAACGCGAAGAACCUUACCUGGUCUUGACAUCCACGGAAGUUUUCAGAGAUGAGAAUGUGCCUUCGGGAACCGUGAGACAGGUGCUGCAUGGCUGUCGUCAGCUCGUGUUGUGAAAUGUUGGGUUAAGUCCCGCAACGAGCGCAACCCUUAUCCUUUGUUGCCAGCGAUUAGGUCGGGAACUCAAAGGAGACUGCCAGUGAUAAACUGGAGGAAGGUGGGGAUGACGUCAAGUCAUCAUGGCCCUUACGACCAGGGCUACACACGUGCUACAAUGGCGCAUACAAAGAGAAGCGACCUCGCGAGAGCAAGCGGACCUCAUAAAGUGCGUCGUAGUCCGGAUUGGAGUCUGCAACUCGACUCCAUGAAGUCGGAAUCGCUAGUAAUCGUGGAUCAGAAUGCCACGGUGAAUACGUUCCCGGGCCUUGUACACACCGCCCGUCACACCAUGGGAGUGGGUUGCAAAAGAAGUAGGUAGCUUAACCUUCGGGAGGGCGCUUACCACUUUGUGAUUCAUGACUGGGGUGAAGUCGUAACAAGGUAACCGUAGGGGAACCUGCGGUUGGAUCACCUCCUUA